rnacentral:rRNA from 1 species
UACGUAGGGCGCGAGCGUUGUCCGGAUUUAUUGGGCGUAAAGAGCUCGUAGGCGGCUUGUCGCGUCGACUGUGAAAACCCGCGGCUCAACCGUGUGGCGGGCAGUUGAUACGGGCAGGCUAGAGUUCGGUAGGGGAGACUGGAAUUCCUGGUGUAGCGGUGAAAUGCGCAGAUAUCAGGAGGAACACCGGUGGCGAAGGCGGGUCUCUGGGCCGAUACUGACGCUGAGGAGCGAAAGCGUGGGGAGCGAACAGG